rnacentral:lncRNA from 1 species
UCCCACUGUAACAGGCCAUGGCUGGGUUUCUGGAGGUGGUGGACAGGUUUUCACUUUGGAGCCCUCUAAACAGGUAGUCUUGGCUUUGCAGGUGUUCUUGGACAAGGCUCACACAUGCUGCAGGAGAGUGCCUCUGCUGGUUCAGAUGCUGUCCCUUAGGACACAUCCUUGGCUCUUCCCUACCUCUAUCCUUUCGCCUGCUUUCUCACUCCCCACCUUGCAUCCCUCUCUAUGCCCUCCAACUCUGACUUGCAAAAUAGACCAAGGAGACAGGUUAGGAAGAACUUCUGGGAGCAACACGGAAAAAAGUACGUUUUUGGAAUCUGGGUCACUAUCGUAAUCUGCUGCAGAUAAUGAGCAGUGAAUGUGUGUUUGAUGAGAUGGGACUUCUUCCCCUUAGGUCUGAAGGAACUCAUUUGGAGAACAGGCAUGCAGAUGCCCUGAGAGCUCGGUGCCACACGAUGGACACACAAAUGGAGAUAUGGCUUCCACAUGCUGUGUUCCCACACCUCUCAUAUUUC